UAAGACGAACCGUGCGAACGUUGUUCGGAAUCACUGGGCUUAAAGGGCGCGUAGGCGGGUUCACAAGUCCGGGGUGAAAGCCCCCAGCUCAACUGGGGAAGCGCCUUGGAUACUGUGGGUCUCGAGGGGGGUAGGGGCGCGCGGAACUUCCGGUGGAGCGGUGAAAUGCGUAGAUAUCGGAAGGAACACCGGUGGCGAAAGCGGCGCGCUGGACCCCUUCUGACGCUGAGGCGCGAAAGCCAGGGGAGCAAACGGGAUUAGAUACCCCGGUAGUCCUGGCCCUAAACGAUGGGUACUAGGUUGUGGACUUACAUGGGUUCACAGCCGGAGCAAAAGUGUUAAGUACCCCGCCUGGGGAGUAUGGUCGCAAGGCUG
rnacentral:rRNA from 1 species